rfam:Morus notabilis contig2018, whole genome shotgun sequence.
GGGUGCAAUCAUACCAGCACUAAUGCACCGGAUCCCAUCAGAACUCCACAGUUAAGCGCGCUUGGGCGAGAGUAGUACUAAGAUGGGUGACCUCCUGGGAAAUCCUCGUGUUGCACCCC